AAAAAAAUUUUUUAACUCGUUUAUGCCUAGUGUUCCAUUUUUUUAACGCUAAGCAUGUGGAAGUGAUUUAUAUCCUGCUCAAGGUCAUCGCCAAGGUCUGAUUG